rnacentral:rRNA from 1 species
UACGUAGGCAGCAAGCGUUGUUCGGAGUUACUGGGCGUAAAGGGUGUGUAGGCGGUUGCUUAAGUUUGGUGUGAAAUCUCCCGGCUCAACUGGGAGGGUGCGCCGAAUACUGAGUGACUAGAGUGCGGGAGAGGAGAGUGGAAUUCCUGGUGUAGCGGUGAAAUGCGUAGAUAUCAGGAGGAACACCGGUGGUGUAGACGGCUCUCUGGACAGAGUCUGACGCUGAGGCGCGAAAGCUAGGGGAGCAAACAGG